GACAGAGGGUGCGAACGUUGUUCGGAAUUACUGGGCGUAAAGCGCAUGUAGGCGGCAGCGCAAGUCGGGCGUGAAAUCCCACGGCUCAACCGUGGAAGUGCACUCGAAACUGCGCAGCUAGAGUCCUGGAGAGGAAGGUGGAAUGCUUGGUGUAGAGGUGAAAUUCGUAGAUAUCAAGCGGAACACCGGUGGCGAAGGCG
rnacentral:rRNA from 1 species